rnacentral:lncRNA from 10 species
AGUGUAUUUUGAGAAUUGCAAUGAGAAGAAAAGAUGAAAAAUGCAAUUUUAAGAAAGUUUCUACAAACUCGAGUUAAUGCAUAUAGGAGAACAAGAAGAUUUAUACUAGCCAUGCAAGGAAUCUUUGGAAGUCUAACAGACCUGACUUGAAGAGAAGGCUUUAAACAAGAAAUUCUUCAUUCUGGAACAGUGAUUCUUAAAGUGCGGUUCAGAGACCCUGGGAGACACUGACAUUCUUUCAG